ensembl:snRNA LOC120093488 U2 spliceosomal RNA
AUCGCUUCUCGGCCUUUUGGCUAAGAUCAAGUGUAGAAUCAUGGCUUACAUCUAAUCUCCUAUUUUUGUCCAGGGAGUAAGAAUAAUGUAAGAAACCUUUGAUUGAGUUAGAAAUUCAUACAAGGUGAUCCUGCAUAUCUUAUUAAGUAUAGGUGUAGAUUUUGAAAUUCCUA